UGCCUCUUCAACAGUCAAUGGAACUUUUACUUCUAGAAUUAGCUCUAGGGUUAAAGUUUCUAUUAGAUAGGUGAGAAAAGUAGUAAACUGGAUUUACAAUAUUCAAAUAAGUGAAGAAGCAUCAGGUGAUGGUCAGUCCAAGUUAGUUUUCUGUUACAGUGGGGUUCUGUAAUAAUUGUAAGUGGCUUAUGGGCCUUUGGCUUGUUUAUAAUACGACUCAUACGAGCUUUACACGCUAUU